rfam:Euroglyphus maynei isolate Arlian Lab scaffold24058, whole genome shotgun sequence.
UGAGCUGGGUUUAGACCGUCGUGAGACAGGUUAGUUUUACCCUACUUAUUAUUGGUACGGUGACAGUAGAGCAACUUAGUACGAGAGGAACCGUUGCUUCAUGCCUCUGGUAACGCGGCUGGCUGGCAAGCCAGUGCUGCAAAGCUACGCAUGUUGGAUAAUGGCUGAACGCCUCUAAGUCAGAAUCCAGCCUGAAAAACCGUAUCCAGUGGGAGUUAAGUGUCGACCUAAUAGAGUCAUCCAAUUCGAUCGGUGGACCGUGACGCGAAAGUCAGGUUACCAAAAUUAAACGACCACGAACAUUUGUAAAAGACGAUUACAAUGCUAAUAGGUGCUGUAACCAUGAGAGCGAGCUAUGCCUUGCGAUCUGCUGAGGCUCCCUAAUUAGCAAAAUGGUGU